CAAAGGAAUUGACGGGGAGCACCACAACAGGUGGAGCCUGCGGUUUAAUCGGACUCAACGCCGGGAAACUCACCAGAUAAGACAGCUGAAUGAUAGUCGGGCUGAAGACUCUACUUGACUAGCUGAGAGGAGGUGCAUGGCCGUCGUCAGUUCGUACUGUGAAGCAUCCUGUUAAGUCAGGCAACGAGCGAGACCCACGUCCACAGUUGCCAGCAUACCCUCCGGGGUGAUGGGUACACUGUGGAGACCGCCGCUGCUAAAGCGGAGGAAGGAAUGGGCAACGGUAGGUCAGUAUGCCCCGAAUCUCCCGGGCUACACGCGGGCUACAAUGGUUGGUACAAUGGGCAUCUACCCCGAAAGGGGAAGGAAAUCUCUUAAAGCCAAUCGUAGUUCGGAUUGAGGGCUGCAACUCGCUCUCAUGAAGCUGGAAUCCGUAGUAAUCGCGUUUCAACAGAACGCGGUGAAUACGUCCCUGCUCCUU
rnacentral:rRNA from 1 species